GAUGAACGCUAGCUACAGGCUUAACACGUGCAAGUCGCGGGGCAGCAUGGGGGUUGCUUGCAAUCCCCGAUGGCGACCGGCGCACGGGUGAGUAACGCGUAUCCAACCUGCCCUUCACCACGGGAUAACCCGGCGAAAGUCGGACUAAUACCGUAUGUUGUCCAUUGACGGCAUCCGAUUUGGACGAAAGGCUUGGCGGUGAGGGAUGGGGAUGCGUCCGAUUAGCCAGACGGCGGGGUAACGGCCCACCGUGGCUACGAUCGGUAGGGGUUCUGAGAGGAAGGUCCCCCACACUGGAACUGAGACACGGUCCAGACUCCUACGGGAGGCAGCAGUGAGGAAUAUUGGUCAAUGGGCGUAAGCCUGAACCAGCCAAGUAGCGUGCAGGAUGACGGCCCUAUGGGUUGUAAACUGCUUUUAUGCGGGGAUAAAGUGGCCCACGUGUGGGCUUUUGCAGGUACCGCAUGAAUAAGGACCGGCUAAGUCCGUG
rnacentral:rRNA from 1 species